UCUUGAUUAUGGCUUCCAUGGGCAGCAGUUGACAGGGAGAAACCUUCAUAAUUACGAGCCACGCCCAAGAUGGUCAGGAUUAACAUCUAUUGAAGAGGUCGAAGUAGCUGACAAUCUUCAUCACCAUCCAACAGUGACUUUCCCUCACGGUGGAGCUGAGCCGGUGCUGGACAGGACACAGCUUUAGGCUCACAAAGAAAAAUGAACAUGACAUCAUCAUCAUCAUUCGUCCCCGACUUUAAUGUGAAAAAAAAAGAUCUGGGAUGCAAGUAAGGUUUAAAGUGACUUCAUUUUCAAACGCUCAUAAACAUGACACUGCAAAGUAUCUG